rnacentral:rRNA from 1 species
AUUGAACGCUGGCGGCAGGCUUAACACAUGCAAGUCGAGCGGGCGAGGUUGCUUCGGUAACUGAGCUAGCGGCGGACGGGUGAGUAAUGCUUAGGAAUCUGCCUAUUAGUGGGGGACAACAUUCCGAAAGGAAUGCUAAUACCGCAUACGCCCUACGGGGGAAAGCAGGGGAUCUUCGGACCUGGCGCUAAAAGAUGAGCCUAAGUCAGAUUAGCUAGUUGGUGGGGUAAAGGCCUACCAAGGCGACGAUCUGUAGCGGGUCUGAGAGGAUGAUCCGCCACACUGGGACUGAGACACGGCCCAGACUCCUACGGGAGGCAGCAGUGGGGAAUAUUGGACAAUGGGCGGAAGCCUGAUCCAGCCAUGCCGCGUGUGUGAAGAAGGCCUUUUGGUUGUAAAGCACUUUAAGCGAGGAGGAGGCUACUUGGAUUAAUACUCUAGGAUAGUGGACGUUACUCGCAGAAUAAGCACCGGCUAACUCUGUGCCAGCAGCCGCCGCAG